AUGCAACACCCAUGCAACGCCGCAGCCGCCAGGCAGGGGUUGCUCCGAACGCCCCCACGUCGCCGAGCCCCUCGGCCUCUUUCAAAAGCGCGUGUCAAAAGGUUAGCGGCACAGGCGUUUCUUGGGAUUUUUUUUUUUCUCUUGCGGCUUGCUUCUGGUGGAAAUUACUCAGCUUUCCAGAGCAGAAACCUCAAGCAGCGCGGCCGCGUCUCUGACCCAGCUCAUCGCUGCCGCCACUCCACAAACCACUUCCUUCCCGGUUCCCGGCAGCCGGUGCCGGCGGGCAAUCCAAGGGCCGGGACCGCCGGCUCAUUUUGGCUCUGCCGGCGGCGAGGGGCCGCGCUCGCUGCCGCCCCGACCCUGCGCUUUGCUUGCACGCGGACGGACCGUAAUUUUGGCGCGGGAAGAGCAGCUGAGUCCGGGGCUGGCAGGUCUCGGCCGGAGGAGCUGCGAUUCCCAGCCAGCAGCUUGCAACCAGUUCGCAUUUCAGAAAAGCUCAGUGUGGGUGGGAAAGUGCUGCAUCGCCCUGCCGGCGGCUUAGAAAAGGGACCUUCCGUUUCCACCCUCUUCUCCCCGUUCCCGUCUCCCACCCCCUCCYGUUCCACUCUCGGUCUUCGAAGCUUGAGGCAAAGCACAAAUCACAACCGACUCCAGCACAGGCUUCGUCCAAAGYUCAGGCUAAAAAUUUCAGAGCAGAGAAAAGAAAAGGAGAAAAAGGAAGAACUCGAGGGGAGCAGAGAUAUUAAUGCAACCGCAUCACAGAGGAGCAGGAGCAGGGAGCCCAGACAAGGCUCGUUUUGCCCAGUUCACUGCAUUACAAGUGACACCAAGGACCUAAACUGCCUGAAGACCAACGUGUCCGUGGCCCUAGGACGACACUCGCUGUGCCGGGAGCAAGGACACARUACGGAGAUGCUGGACAAACUCGUGUCGGAGCCGUGCGUGCACUCAGGGCAGAGCCCUUCCCUCAAGGGCCGACGCAUCCGUGCAGGAAAAGCUUUCACGGAAGGAUGGGAACAAAAAGGAAGAAAUUUCACAGCUGCGAUGAUGCCACCAGCGGAAUCGCGAUCAGCAUCCCAGGGCCAGCGCUGGCUGGGAGCAGCACACGUUCCCGGCGGCCGUCGCAGCCUGCGAGCCGAGGGGAGAAGCCGAAGGCAACGUUCCCGCGCGGGCGGCGCUUGCACGGCCCCGCGGCUCCCCGCACCGGCCGCCCCCGAGCAGGACUGCAGCAGCCGGCUCCCUUCCCACCGCCGAGGCCUGACCUCAGAGAUUUGUUUUCUUUAG
rnacentral:lncRNA from 1 species